rnacentral:pre_miRNA from 1 species
CGAGGCUCAUUGCGAAUUUCCACCUUGUACGGUAGAAAUUAGCAAGUGAGGCUCCAAC